GAUGAACGCUGGCGGCGUGCCUAAUACAUGCAAGUCGAGCGAACAGACGAGGAGCUUGCUCCUCUGACGUUAGCGGCGAACGGGUGAGUAACACGUGGAUAACCUACCUAUAAGACUGGGAUAACUUCGGGAAACCGGAGCUAAUACCGGAUAAUAUAUUGAACCGCAUGGAUCAAUAGUGAAAGACGGUUUUGCUGACACUUAUAGAUGGAUCCGCGCCGCAUUAGCUAGUUGGUAAGGUAACGGCUUACCAAGGCAACGAUGCGUAGCAGACCUGAGAGGGUGAUCGGCCACACUGUAACUGAGACACGGCCCAGACUCCUACGGGAGGCAGCAGUCGGGAAUCUUCCGCAAUGGGCGAAAGCCUGACGUAGCAACGCCGCGUGAGUGAUGAAGGUCUUCGGAUCGUAAAACUCUGUUAUUAGGGAAGAACAAAUGUGUAAGUAACUAUGCACGUCUUGACGGUACCUAAUCAGAAAGCCACGGCUAACUACGUG
rnacentral:rRNA from 1 species